UUAAGCGACUAAGCGUACACGGUGGAUGCCCUGGCAGUCAGAGGCGAUGAAGGACGUGCUAAUCUGCGAUAAGCGUCGGUAAGGUGAUAUGAACCGUUAUAACCGGCGAUUUCCGAAUGGGGAAACCCAGUGUGUUUCGACACACUAUCAUUAACUGAAUCCAUAGGUUAAUGAGGCGAACCGGGGGAACUGAAACAUCUAAGUACCCCGAGGAAAAGAAAUCAACCGAGAUUCCCCCAGUAGCGGCGAGCGAACGGGGAGCAGCCCAGAGCCUGAAUCAGUGUGUGUGUUAGUGGAAGCGUCUGGAAAGGCGCGCGAUACAGGGUGACAGCCCCGUACACAAAAAUGCACAUGCUGUGAGCUCGAUGAGUAGGGCGGGACACGUGGUAUCCUGUCUGAAUAUGGGGGGACCAUCCUCCAAGGCUAAAUACUCCUGACUGACCGAUAGUGAACCAGUACCGUGAGGGAAAGGCGAAAAGAACCCCGGCGAGGGGAGUGAAAAAGAACCUGAAACCGUGUACGUACAAGCAGUGGGAGCACGCUUCGGCGUGUGACUGCGUACCUUUUGUAUAAUGGGUCAGCGACUUAUAUUCUGUAGCAAGGUUAACCGAAUAGGGGAGCCGAAGGGAAACCGAGUCUUAACUGGGCGUUAAGUUGCAGGGUAUAGACCCGAAACCCGGUGAUCUAGCCAUGGGCAGGUUGAAGGUUGGGUAACACUAACUGGAGGACCGAACCGACUAAUGUUGAAAAAUUAGCGGAUGACUUGUGGCUGGGGGUGAAAGGCCAAUCAAACCGGGAGAUAGCUGGUUCUCCCCGAAAGCUAUUUAGGUAGCGCCUCGUGAAUUCAUCUCCGGGGGUAGAGCACUGUUUCGGCAAGGGGGUCAUCCCGACUUACCAACCCGAUGCAAACUGCGAAUACCGGAGAAUGUUAUCACGGGAGACACACGGCGGGUGCUAACGUCCGUCGUGAAGAGGGAAACAACCCAGACCGCCAGCUAAGGUCCCAAAGUCAUGGUUAAGUGGGAAACGAUGUGGGAAGGCCCAGACAGCCAGGAUGUUGGCUUAGAAGCAGCCAUCAUUUAAAGAAAGCGUAAUAGCUCACUGGUCGAGUCGGCCUGCGCGGAAGAUGUAACGGGGCUAAACCAUGCACCGAAGCUGCGGCAGCGACGCUGAUGCGUUGUUGGGUAGGGGAGCGUUCUGUAAGCCUGUGAAGGUGUGCUGUGAGGCAUGCUGGAGGUAUCAGAAGUGCGAAUGCUGACAUAAGUAACGAUAAAGCGGGUGAAAAGCCCGCUCGCCGGAAGACCAAGGGUUCCUGUCCAACGUUAAUCGGGGCAGGGUGAGUCGACCCCUAAGGCGAGGCCGAAAGGCGUAGUCGAUGGGAAACAGGUUAAUAUUCCUGUACUUGGUGUUACUGCGAAGGGGGGACGGAGAAGGCUAUGUUGGCCGGGCGACGGUUGUCCCGGUUUAAGCGUGUAGGCUGGUUUUCCAGGCAAAUCCGGAAAAUCAAGGCUGAGGCGUGAUGACGAGGCACUACGGUGCUGAAGCAACAAAUGCCCUGCUUCCAGGAAAAGCCUCUAAGCAUCAGGUAACAUCAAAUCGUACCCCAAACCGACACAGGUGGUCAGGUAGAGAAUACCAAGGCGCUUGAGAGAACUCGGGUGAAGGAACUAGGCAAAAUGGUGCCGUAACUUCGGGAGAAGGCACGCUGAUAUGUAGGUGAAGNNNNNNNNNNNNNNUGGAGCUGAAAUCAGUCGAAGAUACCAGCUGGCUGCAACUGUUUAUUAAAAACACAGCACUGUGCAAACACGAAAGUGGACGUAUACGGUGUGACGCCUGCCCGGUGCCGGAAGGUUAAUUGAUGGGGUUAGCGCAAGCGAAGCUCUUGAUCGAAGCCCCGGUAAACGGCGGCCGUAACUAUAACGGUCCUAAGGUAGCGAAAUUCCUUGUCGGGUAAGUUCCGACCUGCACGAAUGGCGUAAUGAUGGCCAGGCUGUCUCCACCCGAGACUCAGUGAAAUUGAACUCGCUGUGAAGAUGCAGUGUACCCGCGGCAAGACGGAAAGACCCCGUGAACCUUUACUAUAGCUUGACACUGAACAUUGAGCCUUGAUGUGUAGGAUAGGUGGGAGGCUUUGAAGUGUGGACGCCAGUCUGCAUGGAGCCGACCUUGAAAUACCACCCUUUAAUGUUUGAUGUUCUAACGUUGACCCGUAAUCCGGGUUGCGGACAGUGUCUGGUGGGUAGUUUGACUGGGGCGGUCUCCUCCUAAAGAGUAACGGAGGAGCACGAAGGUUGGCUAAUCCUGGUCGGACAUCAGGAGGUUAGUGCAAUGGCAUAAGCCAGCUUGACUGCGAGCGUGACGGCGCGAGCAGGUGCGAAAGCAGGUCAUAGUGAUCCGGUGGUUCUGAAUGGAAGGGCCAUCGCUCAACGGAUAAAAGGUACUCCGGGGAUAACAGGCUGAUACCGCCCAAGAGUUCAUAUCGACGGCGGUGUUUGGCACCUCGAUGUCGGCUCAUCACAUCCUGGGGCUGAAGUAGGUCCCAAGGGUAUGGCUGUUCGCCAUUUAAAGUGGUACGCGAGCUGGGUUUAGAACGUCGUGAGACAGUUCGGUCCCUAUCUGCCGUGGGCGCUGGAGAACUGAGGGGGGCUGCUCCUAGUACGAGAGGACCGGAGUGGACGCAUCACUGGUGUUCGGGUUGUCAUGCCAAUGGCACUGCCCGGUAGCUAAAUGCGGAAGAGAUAAGUGCUGAAAGCAUCUAAGCACGAAACUUGCCCCGAGAUGAGUUCUCCCUGACCCUUUAAGGGUCCUGAAGGAACGUUGAAGACGACGACGUUGAUAGGCCGGGUGUGUAAGCGCAGCGAUGCGUUGAGCUAACCGGUACUAAUGAACCGUGAGGCUUAACCUU
rnacentral:rRNA from 1 species